rnacentral:rRNA from 1 species
UACAGAGGUCUCAACCGUUGUUCGGAUUCAUUGGGCGUAAAGGGUGCGUAGGCGGUCGCGCAAGGCGGAUGUGAAAUCUUAGGGCUCAACCCUGAAACUGCAUUCGAUACUGCGUGGCUCGAGUACUGGAGAGGAGACUGGAAUUUACGGUGUAGCAGUGAAAUGCGUAGAUAUCGUAAGGAAGACCGGUGGCGAAGGCUAGUCUCUGGACAGUUACUGACACUGAGGCACGAAGGCCAGGGGAGCAAACGGG